rnacentral:rRNA from 1 species
CAGUCGCCACGGUAAUACGGAGGAUCCGAGCGUUAUCCGGAAUUAUUGGGUUUAAAGGGUGCGUAGGCGGAUAGAUAAGUCAGUGGUGAAAGACGGUGGCUCAACCAUCGCAGUGCCGUUGAUACUGUUUAUCUUGAAUAUGGAUGAGGUAGGCGGAAUGUGGCAAGUAGCGGUGAAAUGCAUAGAUAUGCCACAGAACACCGAUUGCGAAGGCAGCUUACCAAGGCAAAAUUGACGCUGAGGCACGAAAGCGUGGGGAUCGAACAGGAUUAGAUACCCCGGUAGUCCCUGUCUCUUAUAC